UUAUAUGAUAAUUGGAUAUGAUAUUUUAUAUGUUUUCAUCACUAUUUCAUUUAUAAGGUGGUAUAAAUUGUAGCAUACCUUUACGGAACCAAGACACUUCGUUUUUGCUUUUGUCGCUGAAUGAUCGUUGAGCGUGUCUACAGGAGAACAGGCUUACUUGAGAACGCUACUUUCUUGUUCGGCUACAAGUUAGUUAAUGGAUCUGUAAAAAAUUCAACGGGUUAAUCUACAGCAUUCUUGAAUUCUCAUUACUGCAUCACAACCAAUUGAAAAUGAAGACUGGCUGAUUUGUAUUCAGAAAUGCCAUAUUGACGUCGUCAGCAUCUUUUGGCAGCAACAUCAAUCAUUUCUUUUGAAUAUAUCGACUGUCAACUUGUGUGCAUAACGCGUGUCUUUUUGUGUAAUGAUAACGAAAUUGGUGGAUAUGGCUGGAUUGUUGUUUUGCAGUUUAGUAUGUGUUGUGAGAUUCGUAAUGGUUCUGCUGCCCAUGGGACACAUUCAAGUGAUAGUAUCACCAUUGUCUCUGGAGGCCUUGAAGAUACACGUUGCGAUAUACUCGAGCUUGAAAUGGUGGACUAUAAGAGGUUAAAUUCACCCAAAAGAUCAGCAUAACGCGUGUCUUUUUGUGUAAUGAUAACGAAAUUGGUGGAUAUGGCUGGAUUGUUGUUUUGCAGUUUAGUAUGUGUUGUGAGAUUCGUAAUGGUUCUGCUGCCCAUGGGACACAUUCAAGUGAUAGUAUCACCAUUGUCUCUGGAGGCCUUGAAGAUACACGUUGCGAUAUACUCGAGCUUGAAAUGGUGGACUAUAAGAGGUUAAAUUCACCCAAAAGAUCAGUUUAGAAAAUCGAAAGUUGUUAUCAUUAUCGCUGCAGUUUUGCGGAGUAGCUGUGACGAACUAUUCAAAACGAAAAAGAUUGUACACCCGACAGGGUUCGUGUUUCUGUUUGAUAAAAGUUUUCAUUGUAAUAGUUGAAUACGGUUGAAUUUUCUUGGUAGUGGUCAUCGUCACAAGUUGGUUGUCCUGCAGGAUGCGGACACUUGUAUUUUAUGGCAUCUAAGGGUUAUGGCUCUGGGAUAAAAUUAUAUAUAGGUCUAUCCCUAUUAAUGAAGAAUAUUCCUGCAUAAAAGAGCGCUCAAUAUCCUAUAUAUUAGAAGAGCGUAAGAUAAAAUGAAAUAAAAUGGACAA